AGAAAAAUAAGUUGGUUACUCCAUAAAUUACGGGUAAGAUGUUGCGUUCUCAGAUAUAUAGGCCUUUUACACUAUAACUUAGCGGUAAGAUAUGGUGUUUUUAGAAAAAUAAGUUAGUUACUCCAUAAAUUACGGGUAAGAUGUUGCGUUCUCAGAUAUAUAGUCCUUUUACACUAUAACUUACCGGUAAGAUAUGGUGUUUUUAGAAAAAUAAGUUAGUUACUCCAUAAAUUACGGGUAAGAUGUUGCGUUCUCAGAUAUAUAGGCCUUUUACACUAUAACUUACCGGUAAGAUAUGGUGUUUUUAGAAAAAUAAGUUCGUUACUCCAUAAAUUAC
rnacentral:lncRNA from 1 species